rnacentral:rRNA from 1 species
UACAGAGGUCUCAAGCGUUGUUCGGAUUCAUUGGGCGUAAAGGGUGUGUAGGUGGCGCCGUAAGUCGGGUGUGAAAUUUCGGAGCUUAACUCCGAAACUGCAUUCGAUACUGCGGUGCUUGAGGACUGGAGAGGAGACUGGAAUUUACGGUGUAGCGGUGAAAUGCGUAGAUAUCGUAAGGAAGACCAGUGGCGAAGGCGGGUCGUCUGGACAGUUCCUGACGCUGAGGCACGGAAGGCUAGGGGGAGCAAAACGGG